GCUGCUCUUCACUCCAACAGCUAGACCUUUCGGAUAACACUUUCGAAGGAGAGCUGCCAACUGCCCUGGACAAGCUACAGAAUCUCACAGAUCUUGUACUCAAUAACAACAGCUUCACUGGAACUCUACCUCCUGAAAUAGGAAACAUGAGCUACCUAGAAAAUCUGUAUCUGUUCGGAAACAUGAUCACAGGUAGAAUCCCGGCAGAGAUUGGGAAGCUGAAAAUUUUGAAAACCCUUUACCUGUAUGACAACCAGCUGUCAGGAUCCAUACCAAGAGAGUUAACCAAUUGCACAGAGCUAAUAGAAAUUGAUUUUUUCGGAAACCAUUUCACGGGCUCCAUCCCUGCAACGAUUGGAAAGCUUAAGAGUCUUGUUCUGCUUCACCUG
rnacentral:lncRNA from 1 species